UUGGAGGGCAAGUCUGGUGCCAGCAGCCGCGGUAAUUCCAGCUCCAAUAGCGUAUAUUAAAGUUGUUGCAGUUAAAAAGCUCGUAGUUGAAUUUCGGGGUCAGUAGAUUGGUCGUGCCACUGGUAUGUACUGGUCUUACUGGCUCCUCCUUCCUGAUGAACCGUAAUGCCAUUAAUUUGGUGUUGCGGGGAAACUGGACUGUUACUUUGAAAAAAUUAGAGUGUUUAAAGCAGGCUAACGCUUGAAUACAUUAGCAUGGAAUAAUGAAAUAGGACGUUCGAUCUUAUUUUGUUGGUUUCUAGGAUUGACGUAAUGAUUAAUAGGGAUAGUUGGGGGCAUUAGUAUUCAAUUGUCAGAGGUGAAAUUCUUGGAUUUAUUGAAGACUAACUACUGCGAAAGCAUUUGCCAAGGAUGUUUUCAUUAAUCAAGAACGAAAGUUAGGGGAUCGAAGACGAUCAGAUACCGUCGUAGUCUUAACCAUAAACUAUGCCGACUAGGGAUCGGAUGAUGUUAAUUUUUUAAUGACUCAUUCGGCGCCUUACGGGAAAC
rnacentral:rRNA from 1 species